rnacentral:lncRNA from 1 species
UUUUCAUCUCUCAUUUUUGUUCCAUUGAAAAGAAUUUAUAAAUUGUAAAAACUAUUGAAUUAUGUGCUUCCACGAAGGGAACAAUCACUGUGUGAAAGUCGAGUCAAUGCUAUAACAACGAGACGAUCCGCAAAUAAAGAGGAUCUGCAGGAAAUCUGCAAACACGAGCGAAGCAAACGGGCCGGUCCAUUAAUAUUCCCUCGUACGAUCCGAAUAAGGAACGCGCAGUGAACUGAGAGGCUGCCCGACCGAAGCUAUAAAAAUUAAUUAGCUCUUAGAAGAAGAGACUGGCUUCUAUACCCAUGACUCGUUCACCAAAACUGUGAGACCAUCCUCCGUAGGAAACGACCUUACUUCGUUAUUUGAAGGAUCCAAGCUGGCACGGCUCCUGUCAUAGAUCCUCGAUGAAUGAUCGAUACGAUAUCCCUUGAACGUGGCUCGAUCCAGACCCUUUCC